UACGUAGGGACCGAGCGUUAUCCGGAUUCAUUGGGCGUAAAGAGCUCGUAGGCGGCUAUUCAAGUCGAACGUGAAAUCUCGGGGCUCAACUCCGAGCCUGCGUUCGAUACUGGGUAGCUAGAGUCUGGUAGGGGGAUCUGGAAUUCCUGGUGUAGCGGUGGAAUGCGCAGAUAUCAGGAGGAACACCGGUGGCGAAGGCGGCAUCCUGGACCGACACUGACGCUGAGGAGCGAAAGCCAGGGGAGCAAACGGG
rnacentral:rRNA from 1 species